UUCAGUCAGAUGAGAGAAGCAACUGACACAGCAAACUGGUUGAGAAGUGGAGAUCACUGCUGUAAUGAACUUGACCCUGUGGUCUGUAGGUCGCUAGAACAGCUUUCUGGAAGGAAUACAGAAAAAUUUAGAGUUGCAGACUAGAGAUGCCCUAGAAGGUUGUCAGUGAAACCUAAUGGGCCAUUAUGGGCAUGUGGUGAAGAGAUUGUCUGAAUCACGGAAGAGAUUGCUAGCUUUUAAAUGGUGCAAUAACUGGGGAGUUCUGAAUUUGACCUGACUGAUUUUUGCUCUGUGAAACAGCUAGGAGCCGAAGAUGCUAUGAUUUCAAUAUGAAGCACAUCUCUAACAGACUCAUGUAUUUGAAUGCUUGGUCCCUAGUAGACGACACUGUUUUGGGAGAUUAUGGAAUCUUCAUCCACGGUGCCUAUCUUGUUGACUUAUGACCAAGAGUGAUUCUCCUUCUCAUCCAAGCUCUUUUAUUUCCUGGUUUGUAGCACCGAAUUACCAAUUGUUUCCUACUUUUACUGCUACAGGCCAAGCUAGCCCAUCUUCUAUGCAUGCCUUCCCCACCAUGAAGAACUGUGCUCCCAUAAACCAUACAUCAAAACAAA